UCAACCUUUUUUCCCUAAAAGAAUAGUUGCGCCUUUUUAUUGACGAUGCCAACGUCGAGUGCAGUAUAUGGAUCAAAGCUUUCGAAAAAGGCUUGUAAUGUCAAGAAUCCUAGCUCUGUCGUGUAGGAGUCUCGUCGUCCCGAGCAUACUCUAUGCUGAAAGUCUCUGCAAAGCUGACAGAUGACUAUGUUUUGAAGACAUUUCUAACAUAUAUGUCCUCUCUGGAUUGGUUCGGUAGCAGAUAACUGGACAGAGAAGCAAUUGUCUCCCAAGAAAGCCAAAGACCAUGUACUUUGGCUAUCAGCUUUCCUCCGAUUCUGCAACUUCAUUGUUUGUUUACAUCAAAACCUCUCCACUGCUAUAUUUUUUGUCUGACAAUCUUCCAUAGCUGUGUCCUUCCUGAAGCCUAGAAACAGUCUCAAUUUUUAUGCUUGUACUUUAUCAAUUUUAAUUUUACUGAAAUCAUGCCCAUUUUAACAAAACCUUCAUCUGGCAUUAACUUGAUCUCCAGCCGGUUUAUUCUUGUAUCAAGUCAAAGGCAAGCUUACUCUAUUGCCUUUAUAUUUCGGUCUCAA